rnacentral:rRNA from 1 species
CCUACGGGAGGCAGCAGUGGGGAAUAUUGCACAAUGGGGGAAACCCUGAUGCAGCGACGCCGCGUGAGUGAAGAAGUAAUUCGUUAUGUAAAGCUCUAUCAGCAGGGAAGAAAAUGACGGUACCUGCGUCAGCAGCCCCGGCUAACUACGUGCCAGCAGCCGCGGUACUACGUCGGGGGCAAGCGUUCUCCGGAUUUACUGGUUGUAAAGGGAGCGUAGACGGCAGUGCAAGUCUGGAGUGAAAGGCGGGGGCUCAACCCCCGGACUGCUCUGGAAACUGUACGGCUGGAGUGCAGGAGAGGUAAGUGGAAUUCCUAGUGUAGCGGUGAAAUGCGUAGAUAUCAGGAGGAACACCAGUGGCGAAGGCGGCUUACUGGACGGUAACUGACGUUGAGGCUCGAAAGCGUGGGGAGCAAACAGGAUUAGAUACCCCUGUAGUC